rnacentral:rRNA from 1 species
AAUGAACGUUGGCGGCGUGGAUUAGGCAUGCAAGUCGAGCGGUAAGGCUCCUUCGGGAGUACACGAGCGGCGAAAGGGAGAGUAACGCGUGGAUUAUCUACCCUGGGGUCCGGAAUAGCUGCGGGAAACUGCAGGUAAUGCCGGAUAAUAUCUACGGAUCAAAGGUGUGAUUCCGCCCUUGGAGGAGUCCGCGUCCUAUUAGCUUGUUGGUGGGGUAAUGGCCUACCAAGGCGACGAUGGGUACCGGGUGUGAGAGCAUGACCCGGCUCACUGGGACUGAGACACUGACCAGACACCUACGGGUGGCGGCAGUCGAGAAGCUUCGGCAAUGGGCGCAAGCCUGACCGAGCGAAGCCGCGUGUGGGAUGAAGGCCUUCGGGUUGUAAACCACUGUCGUAGAGGAGGAAAUGCAUUGGGGUUCUCCCCAGUGUUUGACCUAUUCUAGGAGGAAGGACGGGCUAAGUUCGUGCCAGCCGCCGCCGUAA